rnacentral:rRNA from 1 species
AUCCUUAGCGGAGGAGAAGAAACUAACCAGGAUUUCCCUAGUAACGGCGAGCGAACCGGAAAGAGCCCAGCUUGGAAAUCGGGGUGCCUCGCACCUCGAGUUGUAGUCUGGAGAAGGCUCCCCUGCGCCGCGCCGGGCCCAAGUUCCCUGGAAAGGGACGUCAUCGAGGGUGACAACCCCGUCCGUGCCCGGAACGCGUCGCUCCACGGGGACCUGUCUGCGAGUCGGGCUGUUUGGGAAUGCAGCCCUAAUCGGGAGGUAAAUUCCUUCCAAGGCUAAAUAUGGGCAAGAGACCGAUAGCGAACAAGUACCGCGAGGGAAAGAUGAAAAGGACUUUGAAAAGAGAGUUAAAAAGUGCUUGAAAUUGCUGGGAGGGAAGCGAAUGGAAGCUGCGGGUGCGCCCCGGUUGGAUGUGGAACGGCUGCGGCUGGUCCGCCGCUCAACGCGGGGCGCUGGUCAGCGUGGGCCGCGUCGCCGGGACAAGAGCGGGGAUUCGCUCCCCGCCUAUGCCGGUGCCGCGGCCGAGGCACGAAGCGCGCGCCGCCAGGCGUGGGUUCGCCCCAACUGCGCGCUCGGGACGCUGGCGUAUUGAGCUCUUCAUCCGGCCCGUCUUGAAACACGGACCAAGGAGUCUAACAUGUAUGCGAGCCGGUGGGCGGCAAACCCAUUGAGGCGCAAGGAACCUGACAGGUGGGACCCCGACCGCGAGGGAGGGAGCACCAUCGACCGACCGU